rnacentral:lncRNA from 1 species
AAUAAGUCGAGUUGUUAGUAAAUCAGUUGAAUUUGAGUCUCUAAGUAAUUCUAAGUGUGAUGCAACAAAUAAUAUACAUAGAUUUGGAGCAUUUUAUAUACGGAUAGAGGGACAUAAAUGAAAAUCUGAAUCAUAUAAACAUAUGGUAAGAUAAAGUUCACAAUAUCACACAUUUACAUACAUAAUAUUUACUAUAGCAACAUAUUUUAAUGGGUGUGUACAUGAUAAAUAUGUAGCAGAAAAUCAAAUGAACUCAAAGCGCAUGAGAAGCUUUACAUUGUUGUACAUAUCUCCUUUCUGGCUAUACAAUGGAACUGCUCUAAUUCCACUUCUUAGUUCCCACACAGGCAAGCAUGUUUGGCCACCAAAAUCAUCUUUCUCAGACAUAUCAUAUUCAUGAACUUCUAUUCGAAGCAACGCCAAUUCUGGAAUCGAAAGCGGAAACUCGAAUACCUCAUUCCAACUAGGUAACCAAUUAUCUUCUACUGCCUUAGUUUUUUUCAUAAUGGUAUCAUAAGGUACUCCAGCAAUUCCAACCUGCACAAUAAGAGUUUAUCAAAUAGGUUUAAAAGCUAGUAUAUAUGAGUCAUUAGGAACAUAUUGUAGAGUAUGUUAGGAGUGUCCGAUUUAGUUACAUGUCAGACACGGACACGGCGUAGACACGGUAACUAUUUUGAAGUGUUUGUGCUUGAUAGAGUAGAACGCAAGGACUCAUUUAUGAAGUGAAAAUAUGGAUGUGAUGACUCGAACACGACGGUGUAGUAGAUCAUCUUUAACUUACUCUUGUGUAGAAAUCUGGAGGCGAAAAUUGAUCAAAGUGUGUAUGCUUGAAAUCAUAAUACCAUCCUUCACCCAUAUAUACAGUCACCUAAAUAAGAGUAACACAAGUAUGAUCAUUGUUAGGAUCUAGACUAGAGUGUAGAGACACUUGAAGGAGGCAAAUAUAAUAUGCAUACAAUAAAAUCCUUACUUUCAAAGUAAUCUUCACAGGUGAUUCAACUUUGGGAUCAAAGACCUCGUUAUUCCAUCCACUGUUUAAUAAAAAAUCUGGUUUUUUAACAUAACCACACCCGCCAUUCGCUUUGAACAUUCCUUGCAUCACCCAAAGAGAUCUUCCGUAACCCUGUCACGAAACCACCCGAAAUGAAAAUGUUAAGAGUAAUUAUGCAUAAAUUGACCUCAUACUAUUUUAUACGGGGAGGAUUGUCUAAGUUAUUAUAAAUUAUUCUCGGCUCAUAUUUUCAACUGAUGUGCGACUUUGAUACUUAACAGAAAAUUGAUUAGUAGACAUCUAUCAUGAUCUUAGUAUCAUUGUCAAGGAAUAUAAUUUAUGAUCUUAGAUGUUUCUCAUAGCAAUGUCCUGAUACAACUAGCACAAUCCAACAAGACAAAUGACAGACAGUGUCAUGAUCUGAGUGAAUGAAAUCUAACAUCCUCACCGGUGUGAAAAUCACAAACAAAUAACACAAUUCAACUAGACUAACAAUGAUUAUAAGUCAUCCUUAAAAAGUAAUGCGCCGAAAUUUCAAUUUGUCACAAUGCUAGGCCUCACACUUUUAGUAUAGUAGCUUGAAGGAAAAGGUUUAAUCAGGAUAAUAAAAACGGAGGCAGAGGUUGAGAAGGAAGAAAUAGAAACCUGCAUGUUAAAUGCAACCAUUUGAGCUCCAUGCAUCCACCCAAUUAACGGAUUAUAAUUUGAUGACAUGAUGCGAGUUCCUUUCGGAUACACUCUCAGUAUGUUCUGCUGAGUAAACCUGCCAACAAUCAGAAAAUAAGUACCUAUCUUUUCAUUUGUACAUAAAAAGGGUUUGUAUGAAAGCUAAAUAGGAAGAAAAUGAGCUUUAUAUUGUUUCAAAGAUUGAGAAAACUUUUGGAUAUGCCGUCUAAAUCAUAAUGCACUGAGAAGUUUCAAAUAUGACCACUAAAUCUGUCAUAUAGGUGCUAUUAGCAUUAGGAAGUAUUAAGAACUUAAUGCAGUGCAGCAUCAAGAGAGGCAACAAAUCAUAGUCAAAGACUAUCUUAUCUAGUACUGCAUCUCAUGUUUCUUAAACUCAUGGAACCGUAAAAGAUAGAAACAAAGCUCAUCAAACAGUUAAGUUUUACUAAAUUUGCUUUGGAAUAGAGAGUUAUAGCCAGUUCAUGUCAUACAGAAUAAGCCAAAGCACACACACAAAUGAGUUAUCACACCGGAAACUGUUACAAGUACCUGACAAUUUCUUUUCCAUGAGUUAUAACUGCUUUUUCAAGCUGUGGCUCACUUAAACUUAGACGUCUAACUUUAUCAGGAUCCACUUUGAGACAUUCCUCUAGUCCGCCUUUAGGCUUACCAGCAUGAAUCGUAAUUAAACGCCUGUAUUCAGCCGAUGCAUUUUGGCGCGACCUUUCUGAUUCCUCGUGAUCAUCCUCGUCAUUAAGAUCGUCUUCAAUCACAUCACUCUUCAGAAAAUGGUAUGCCGUAAAAUGAGUAAAAAAAAAUCACCCUUUAUAGAAUAAACUUAUUGACAAUUAAUUUACAACAUUGUCUUAGUCUCAAACCUUGUAAUCAGAUAUAGUACCACCUCUCAAACUCGGGACUUCCUUACCCCAUGCUUCUUCAUCACCUUCAGUCUUUCCCUUAUGCAAAUCAUCCUCUUUUUCCUUCACUUCUUUUUCCUCAAGAUACUCCUUAGGUGGUUUUGUUGAUAUAAUAAUCCUCCUUUUAAGUGAUUCAGGAGAAGGGAAUUCGUUGAAAUUUUCCGAGCUAGGACAAAAUAGUAUGUCUCCGAAUGUUUGAGUAACCAUCUAAAAAUAGGAACAAGAUUGUCAAUUGUCAAACAUAAGAAUAAGAAUGUAAGCAUUUUGAAUUCUUGUAGAACUCCGAGUAACUAACCUCAGCUACUUUCGCCUGAAGAUCCGGAGUAAGGUGGUCUUCGAGGGUUAUUACAAGUGGAUAUUCUGAUGCAACAAAGGCAUGCUCCUUAAUAGACCUCAAACAUUUGAUGAGUGCCACAGGAGUAGUUAAUGUCCUGUAUUAAGAAGAAACAAAUACAUACAUCUAUGUUUCAGAAUUCACAGGACAAAACAUUCUAAAAAAGUGUCAUUAGUAAACAAUAUAUUGAAAUAACUUCAUAUCAUAUGUAACCUGUUCUACAAGUUUACAACCAUGACUUCUAGUUAAGGUUUUACUAAACAGAAUUAAGAUUGCAUCAUUUUGUUGAAAUUAGUACAUAAAUGGAUAUAAGUCUUCAUCAAAUUGUUGGAGAUAUAAUUUCCUUUGCCAAAUUUUGUACUAAAGGCAACUCAUGCUCACAAUUAGGACAUUAAAGUUUAAACACGACCGCAACUGCAAUUUACGAGAAACAAACGAGACGACUUUAGAUCAUGCAUAAAACUCAAUUUCAAAUUCAACCAUUAAAUUUACCUUCCAUGAAGAACAUCCACAUCAUCCUUUGAUGCAUUAGGCCAUAUAUCCAAUUCAAUCACCCUUACACCUCUAUGCAAUGCCUUUAUAAUUGGAAUAUCACUGCAGUCACUGCUAAGUUGAUUCCCAGUUAGAUAUGAAUUAUGACCAGUGUAUAUGAAAUAAUGAGACAAGGGUGAAGUCAUAUCAUUGUGCACCUGAAAUACAAGAAAUAACCAUUAAUCAAACAUGAAUAAUCAGAAAAAGAGAUUACAUAUAAUCAAUUAAUUUGUACAUGAUAUAAUAUUGCAUUGAAAAAUGAUGUUUAUACAUUUCAAGAGUUGUUGGAUUUAGUUUUUUAAGAUUGAUUUUCUUGUUUUGUAUUCCUUAAACAAUGUUCUUAGAUACUUAAUCAUUAACGCAACCAUUACAAUAAAUUCAGUUGAGUACCCCUAUAGGCUUUUCUAUGCAUAAGACCCACACUUACCUUAAUGAAGCUUUAGCCCCUAACUCACUUAAACUUUUAUACUUACACAAUCUACAUGCACAUUCAUAUUUACAUGUUAUACAUCAAUUCUACCUUAUAAGACUCUACAUCUGUUUAAACUUGCAUCAAUCUAUGGUUUUGUACUGAUAUGGAACAUGAUAUCACAUUUCUAGUAUUAAACAAAUGUUUUCCAUUAUCAAAUAUCAACCUUGUAAAAGGUUAGAAGGGCAAUCCAAUGUACGAGAACCUAUCUAGUAGGGCCUAUCUUGGCCUGUGGAGGUAGAUGUACGCAAUAUUUCCAGGAUUUGAACCCGUUUUUCCAGAUCACAAGACAAACAACUUUAACCUUGCGCCGAUGCUAAGAUACAAAUUUGGGAGUAUCCACACUAAGAGGAAGAACAUUCAUAAAUGAUGAAACUUGAAAGCAUAAAAUAACACCAAAUCCAUAAAUGCAACAAAGAAAAAGAG